ACGAACGCUGGCGGCGUGCCUAACACAUGCAAGUCGUGCGAGAAAGUUCCUUCGGGAGCGAGUACAGCGGCGCACGGGUGAGUAACACGUAGGUAAUCUGCCCUCGAGCCUGGAAUAAACCUACCGAAAGGUGGGCUAAUACCGGAUAUGACCACGGGAGUUUCGGCUUCUUGCGGUGAAAGGUGGCCUCUACUUGUAAGCUACCACUCAAGGAUGAGCCUGCGUACCAUUAGCUAGUUGGUGGGGUAAUGGCCCACCAAGGCUGUGAUGGUUAGCUGGUCUGAGAGGAUGGCCAGCCACACUGGGACUGAAACACGGCCCAGACUCCUACGGGAGGCAGCAGUGGGGGAUAUUGCGCAAUGGGCGAAAGCCUGACGCAGCGACGCCGCGUGGGUGAUGAAGGCCUUCGGGUCGUAAAGCCCUGUCGAGGGGGACGAAUCGGUUGCGACCCUAACACGUCGUGAUCCUGACGGUACCCCUAAAGGAAGCACCGGCUAACUCCGUGCCAGCAGCCGCGGUAAUACGGAGGGUGCGAGCGUUGUUCGGAAUCACUGGGCGUAAAGCGCGUGUAGGCGGCCCACUAAGUCUGAUGUGAAAGCCCGGGGCUCACCCCCGGAAGUGCAUUGGAAACUGGUGGACUCGAGUCCCGGAGAGGAGAGUGGAAUUCCUGGUGUAGCGGUGAAAUGCGUAGAUAUCAGGAGGAACACCGGUGGCGAAGGCGGCUCUCUGGACGGUGACUGACGCUGAGACGCGAAAGCGUGGGGAGCAAACAGGAUUAGAUACCCUGGUAGUCCACGCCGUAAACGAUGAGCACUAGGUGUCGCGGGUAUUGACCCCUGCGGUGCCGACGCUAACGCAUUAAGUGCUCCGCCUGGGGAAUACGGCCGCAAGGUUAAAAACUCAAAGGAAUUGACGGGGGCCCGCACAAGCGGUGGAGCAUGUGGUUCAAUUCGACGCAACGCGAAGAACCUUACCCUAGGGCUUAGACAACAGCGAGUGACCGACUCCAGAGAUGAGGUCUUUCCCUCAGGGGACACUUCCGGUAGAGGUGCUGCAUGGCUGUCGUCAGCUCGUGUCGUGAGAUGUUGGGUUUAAGUCCCGCAACGAGCGCAACCCUUGUUUGCUGUUGCCAUCAGGUAAUGCUGGGCACUCUGCAAAGACUGCCGGUGAUAAACCGGAGGAAGGUGGGGAUGACGUCAAGUCAGCAUGGCCUUUAUGUCUGGGGCUACACACGUGCUACAAUGGGCCGAUACAAAACCGUCGCAAAAACCGCAAGGUGGAGCUAAUCGGAGAAAAGUCGGUCUCAGUUCGGAUAGCAGGCUGCAACUCGCCUGCCUUGAAGUUGGAAUCGCUAGUAAUCGCGGAUCAGCACGCCGCGGUGAAUACGUUUCCCGGGCCUUGUACACACCGCCCGUCACAUCACGAAAAGCCGGUUGUACUAGAAGUCGCCACACCAACCCGCAAGGGAGGGAGGUGCCUAAGGUAUGGCCGGUGAUUGGGGUG
rnacentral:rRNA from 1 species